rnacentral:rRNA from 1 species
UACGUAGGGGGCCAGCGUUGUCCGGAAUCAUUGGGCGUAAAGCGCGCGUAGGCGGUCAGGUAAGUCCGGUGUGAAAGUCAAAGGCUCAACCUUUGAAUGCCGCUGGAUACUGCUUGACUUGAGUCCGGAAGGGGCGAGUGGAAUUCCUGGUGUAGCGGUGAAAUGCGCAGAUAUCAGGAGGAACACCGGUGGCGAAGGCGGAUCUCUGGGCCUUACCUGACGCUCAGGUGCGAAAGCUAGGGGAGCGAACAGG